CAUUUUUGUAAAUUGAGAACACAAUGGCCAAGAGUUUGACAGUUCUUAUUUCUAUAUCUUUGUUUCUUAUUUGGUCAGGACCUCGACCAGUGGAAACAGCAUGCAAGUCUAACCCUGCUGGGAACUUGUAUUGUAAUGAGAUCUACUACAGAGACUAUGGGGCGGAUCUAGUUCUCAUGUGUGAGGACUAUCAAGCUAGAAAGGACUGCUGUCUAUUUUGUGUCGGGUUCAAAAAGUAGACAUUCAUCUCAACUUGAUAUCCUCUGGUGGACCAGGACUAAAAAGAAGCACAUCUUGACGAUUGUAAAUCUCUGUAGAUUAAUGAAUGAAGAUUUUACUGCAAGAAUC